UAGUUGCAAGGUAUAGACCCGAAACCCGGUGAUCUAGCCAUGGGCAGGUUGAAGGUUGGGUAACACUAACUGGAGGACCGAACCGACUAAUGUUGAAAAAUUAGCGGAUGACUUGUGGCUGGGGGUGAAAGGCCAAUCAAACCGGGAGAUAGCUGGUUCUCCCCGAAAGCUAUUUAGGUAGCGCCUCGUGAACUCAUCUUCGGGGGUAGAGCACUGUUUCGGCUAGGGGGCCAUCCCGGCUUACCAAACCGAUGCAAACUCCGAAUACCGAAGAAUGUUAUCACGGGAGACACACGGCGGGUGCUAACGUCCGUCGUGAAGAGGGAAACAACCCAGACCGCCAGCUAAGGUCCCAAAGUCAUGGUUAAGUGGGAAACGAUGUGGGAAGGCAUAGACAGCCAGGAUGUUGGCUUAGAAGCAGCCAUCAUUUAAAGAAAGCGUAAUAGCUCACUGGUCGAGUCGGCCUGCGCGGAAGAUGUAACGGGGCUAAACCAUGCACCGAAGCUGCGGCAGCGACGCUUAGGCGUUGUUGGGUAGGGGAGCGUUCUGUAAGCCGUUGAAGGUGGCCUGUGAGGGUUGCUGGAGGUAUCAGAAGUGCGAAUGCUGACAUAAGUAACGAUAAAGCGGGUGAAAAGCCCGCUCGCCGGAAGACCAAGGGUUCCUGUCCAACGUUAAUCGGGGCAGGGUGAGUCGACCCCUAAGGCGAGGCCGAAAGGCGUAGUCGAUGGGAAACAGGUUAAUAUUCCUGUACUCGGUGUUACUGCGAAGGGGGGACGGAGAAGGCUAGGCUAGCCGGGCGACGGUUGUCCCGGUUUAAGCGUGUAGGGGGAGUGACCCGGUAAAUCCGGUUGCUUAUUCAACCCUGAGGCGUGAUGACGAUGCACCACGGUGCAGAAGUAGUUGAUGCCAAGCUUCCAGGAAAAGCCUCUAAGCAUCAGGUAACACAGAAUCGUACCCCAAACCGACACAGGUGGUCAGGUAGAGAAUACCAAGGCGCUUGAGAGAACUCGGGUGAAGGAACUAGGCAAAAUGGUGCCGUAACUUCGGGAGAAGGCACGCUGGCGCGUAGGUGAAGUCCCUUGCGGAUGGAGCUGAAGCCAGUCGCAGAUACCAGCUGGCUGCAACUGUUUAAUAAAAACACAGCACUGUGCAAACACGAAAGUGGACGUAUACGGUGUGACGCCUGCCCGGUGCUGGAAGGUUAAUUGAUGGGGUCAGCCGCAAGGCGAAGCUCUUGAUCGAAGCCCCAGUAAACGGCGGCCGUAACUAUAACGGUCCUAAGGUAGCGAAAUUCCUUGUCGGGUAAGUUCCGACCUGCACGAAUGGCGUAAUGAUGGCCAGGCUGUCUCCACCCGAGACUCAGUGAAAUUGAACUCGCUGUGAAGAUGCAGUGUACCCGCGGCAAGACGGAAAGACCCCGUGAACCUUUACUAUAGCUUGACACUGAACAUUGAGCCUUGAUGUGUAGGAUAGGUGGGAGGCUUUGAAGCGUGGACGCCAGUCUGCGUGGAGCCAACCUUGAAAUACCACCCUUUAAUGUUUGAUGUUCUAACUCGGCCCCAUAAUCUGGGGUGAGGACAGUGUCUGGUGGGUAGUUUGACUGGGGCGGUCUCCUCCCAAAGAGUAACGGAGGAGCACGAAGGUUAGCUAAUCACGGUCGGACAUCGUGAGGUUAGUGCAAAGGCAUAAGCUAGCUUGACUGCGAGAGUGACGGCUCGAGCAGGUACGAAAGUAGGUCUUAGUGAUCCGGUGGUUCUGAAUGGAAGGGCCAUCGCUCAACGGAUAAAAGGUACUCCGGGGAUAACAGGCUGAUACCGCCCAAGAGUUCAUAUCGACGGCGGUGUUUGGCACCUCGAUGUCGGCUCAUCACAUCCUGGGGCUGAAGUAGGUCCCAAGGGUAUGGCUGUUCGCCAUUUAAAGUGGUACGCGAGCUGGGUUUAGAACGUCGUGAGACAGUUCGGUCCCUAUCUGCCGUGGGCGUUGGAAGAUUGAGAGGGGUUGCUCCUAGUACGAGAGGACCGGAGUGAACGCACCACUGGUGUUCGGGUUGUCAUGCCAAUGGCACUGCCCGGUAGCUAAGUGCGGAAAAGAUAAGCGCUGAAAGCAUCUAAGCGCGAAACUUGCCUCGAGAUGAGUCUUCCCUGGGCCUUUAAGGCCCCUGAAGGAACGUUUAAGACUAAGACGUUGAUAGGCUGGGUGUGUAAGUGCAGCGAUGCAUUGAGCUAACCAGUACUAAUGAUCCGUGAGGCUUAACCUU
rnacentral:rRNA from 1 species